rnacentral:lncRNA from 1 species
AUGAGAAACACCAUGUGCAUGAAAGGCAAAUCCUUCCCUUGUAAGUUCAUCUCACGUAUGCCAUGGAGAAGGGGUCAUAUAGUACUUCAAUGGGUCUCAUCCCUUAACUGCUAUAAAAACCCAAGCCAUUUUCAGAUCACCCUGGGAAAUCUGCAGCAUCUCCCCAGAAAACAUAGUUUACCUCUGAGCUUCCUCUCUGGGCCAUGUGACAGCAAGAAGGCAGCCCACUGCAUACCAGGAAGAGGUCUAUCACCAGGAACCAAAUCUACCAGCACCUUGACCACUUCUCAGCACUUCUCAGCCUCCAGAAAUGUGGAAAAAUAUAUUUCUGUUGUUUAAGCCAUCUGGUCUGUGGUAUUUUUUAAAAAU